rnacentral:lncRNA from 1 species
CUUAAUUACACCAAGACAUCAUUUUCAUCCAAUUUCCUAAUAAAAAUUUGUAAAAUAAUGAAUAUAGCCUCAUAUUUAAAUAAAACAAAAUGAAACUAGAUGAAAAAUAAGGAACUAAUUGUAACCAUAACCCAAUUUUUUUUUUUUUUUUAAAAAAAGGUGCAAAUAAAUGUCAAAUAAAUUAUUAAAAAAUUGGGAAAAAAAAUUUCUCCUCCUCCUCCACCUUGGAAAAUGCAAAGGCCAAUUCCUCUUAAACUGAUUUUACUCCACCCCACCCAGUUCAAGCGCGACAAAGAUGGGGGUUUCACCGUAUUAGCCAAUUAUAUAGGAGCACUCGACAAGCGGCAGAACCCUAAACCCAAAAAAUUCACCAUGACAUCUCUGGUGAUAUCCAAGGAAUCAGAAAAAAUAGCCAUGAUAACUCCUAUAGUGACCAAAAUAGCUGGAAAUGACAAAUUGAUGACUAUGCAGUUUAUACUGCCGUCAAAACACACCACGGCGGAGAGGCGUCGGUGGAUGAACGAGCGGUGAUAAGGGAGGAGGGAGAAAGGAAAUACGGGGUGGUGUUGUUUAGUGGGCUGGCUAGUGAUAAGGUUGUGGCAGAGAAGGUGGAGAAUUUGAAGAAAUUGUUGGCAAGAGAUGGGUACAAGAUGAGUGCCGUGGGG